ensembl:lncRNA
UGGGAAUACAGAACUGAAUCUGUUGGUCACAGAUACCUUUAAAAAAGGUAGGGGCGUGCAUCAGAAAAACAGUAUCUGGUGUGACCACCAUUUGCCUCAUGCAGCUAGACACAUCUCCUUCGCAUAUAGUUAAUCAUUCCCACUCCUCUUCGAUGGCUGUGCGAAGUUCCUGGAUAUUGGCGGGAACCAGAGCAUCCCAAACAUGCUCAGUGGGUUACAUGUCUGAGUAGGCAGUCCAUAGAAGAACUGGGCCAUUUUCAGCUUCCAGGAAUUGUGUACAGAUCCUUGCAACAUGGGACCGUGCAUUAUCAUGCUGAAACAUGAGGUGAUGGCGGCGGACGAAUGGCACGACAAUGGGCCUCAGGAUGUUGUCACUGCAAUUGUGUUGUUUGUCCAUAGUUUAUGUCUGCCCAUACCAUAACCCCACCGGCACCAAUGGGCACUUUGUUCACAAUGUUGACAUCAGAAAACCGCUCGCCCACACGACGCCAUACACGUGGUCUGUGGUUGUAAGGCCUGGUGAACGUACUGCCAACUUCUCUAAAACAACUUUGGAGGUGGCUUAUGGUAGAAAAAUUCACAUUCACCUCUCUGGCAACAAAUUCUGGUGGACAUUCCUUCAGAAAGCAUGCCAAUUGCACGCUCCCUCAACUUGAGACAUCUGUGGCAUCUUGUUGUGUGACAAAACUGCACAUUUUUGAGUGGCCUUUUAUUGUCCCCAGCAUCUGUGUAUCCUGCAGUUUAAUCAGCUUCUUGGUAGGCCACACCUGUGAGGUGGAUGAAUUAUCAUGGCAAAGGAGAAAUGCUCACUAACAGGGAUGUAAACAAAUUUUUGCUCAACAUUUGAGAGAAAUACACUUUUUGUGCAUAUGGAACAUUUCUGGGAUCUUUUAUUUCAGCUCAUGAAACAUGUUCAGUGUAAAUAUUUACUGAGCUUGAGCCAUUUUUAAAACAACAUUAGAUAAAUGUUGCCCUAAGAGUUUUGCAAGGUUGGUAGAAUCUUUAUUUUUUUUUUAAAUCACAGCUAUAAUCGCUGCCGAGGUAGUGGUGAAGGCUUACACAAUCAAUACAUCCUCAUUUUAUAUUUCUUAGUCAUUUGGAAAAUGAAUUUGUAAUAUUUAUUUGACUUGUAAAUUUGAAGUAGGUUUUGUAGAUUGAUUUCAUCCAUUUUGUUUUGUAUUUUUAGGCUGCUUGCGGUGUGUAGACUCAUGACUGUAUGGAACAAAAAUACAUUUCUUGAAUGUCAACAUUUGUGUUUUUACAGUGCCUUAUUCAUCCCCUCUUGGCGUUUUUCCUAUUUUGUUGCAUUGCAACCUGUAAUUUAAAUUUAAUAGAUUUUUAUUUGGAGUUCAUGUAAUGGACAUACACAAAAUAGUCCAAAUUGGUGAAGUGAAAUUUAAAAAAUAAGUUACUUAAAAAAUAAAUAAAAAAUGGAACAGUGAUGCGUACAUAAUUAUUCACCCCCUUUGCUAUGAAGCCCCUAAAUAACAUCUGGUACAACCAAUUACCCUCAGAAGUCAGAUAAUUUGUUAGAUUGCACACAGGUGAACUUUAUUUAAGUGUCACGUGAUCUGUCAUAUGAUCUCAGUAUAUAUACACCUGUUCUGAAAGGCCCCAGAGUCUGCAACACCACUAAGCAAGCGGCAUCACCAAGCAAGCAGCACCAUGAAGACCAAGGAACUCUCCAAACAGGUCAGGGACGAAGUACAGAUCAGGGUUGGGUUAUAAAAAAAAGAUCAAUCUUUGAACAUCCCACGGAGCACUAUCAAAUCCAUUAUUAGAAAAUGGAAUGAACCUGCCAAGAGUGGGCCACCCACCAAAACUCACUGACCAGGCAAGGAGGGCAUUAAUCAGAGAGGCAACAAAGAGACCAAAGAUAACCCCGAAGGAGCUGCAAAGCGCCACAGCGGAGAUUUGGAGUAUCUGUCCAUAGGACCACUUUAUGCCGUACACUCCACAGAGCUGGGCUUUACGGGAGAGUGGCAAGAAAAAAGCCAUUGCUGAAAGAAAAAAAAUAAGAAAACAUGUUUGGUGUUUGCCAAAAGGCAUGUGGGAAACUCCAAAAAACAUAUGGAGACUAAAAUUAAGCUUUUUGGCCAUCAAGGAAAACGCUAUGUCUGGCGCAAACCCAACACCUCACAUCACCCCGAGAACAUCAUCCCCACAGUGAAGCAUGGUGGUGGAGGCAUCAUGCUGUGGGGAUGUUUUUCAUCAGCAGGGACUAGGAAACUGGUCAAAAUUGAAGGAGAGAUGGAUGGCGCUAAAUACAGGGAAAUUCUUGAGGGAAACCUGUUUCAGUCUUCCAGAGCUUUGAGACUGGGACGGAGGUUCACCUUCCAAUGACCCUACACUCGAGUGGUUUAAGGGGAAACAUUUUAAAUGUAUUGGAAUGGCCUAGUCAAAGCCCAGACCUCAAUCCAAUUGAGAAUCUGUGAUAUGACUUAAAGAUUGCUGUACACCAGCGGAACCCAUCCAACUUGAAGGAGCUGGAGCAGUUUUGCCUUGAAGAAUGGGCAAAAAUCCCAGUGGCUAGAUGUGCCAACCUUAUAGAGACAUACCCCAAGAGACUUGCAGCUGUAAUUGCUGCAAAAGAUGGCUCCACAAAGUAUUGACUUUGGGGGGUGAAUAGUAAUGCACACUCAAGUUUUCAUUUUUUUUGUCUUAUUUUUUGUUUCUUUCACAAUAAUAAAUAUUUUGCAUCUUCAAAGUGGUAGGCAUGUUGUGUAAAUCAAAUGAUACAAACCCCAUCAAAUCAAUUUUAAUUCCAGGUUGAAAGGCAACAAAAUAGGAAAAAUGCCAUCAGGCGGUGAAUAUUUUCGCAAGCCACUGUACUUAAAUGGAACCAGUUUUGUUUUGUAGAAAGGAAUGUUGUUUUUAGUUUGUUAAUGGUUUAUGUAGAAAUUGUUGUUUUAUGUCUGUAUUUUAAAUUGGAUCUACGGGUUGGUCCUGUUUUCAUUUCUUGCUUUGGUUUAAAAUCUGAACAACAUGACUGUGUCAGUAUUAUCUAGUAUUUUCUAUUUAUUGAAUGUAAGAAUUUGUGAGGACAGUUCCAGUUCCGCUUCCAUAGAUUAGUUCCAUACGUUAGUUCCAUACAUUAGUUCCAUAGAUUAGUUCCAUAGAUUAGUUCCAUACAUUAGUUCCAUACUUCCAUACAUUAGUUCCAUACACUAGUUCCAUAGAUUAGUUCCAUACAUUAGUUCCAUACAUUAGUUCCAUAGAUUAGUUCCAUAGAUUAGUUCCAUACAUUAGUUCCAUAGAUUAGUUCCAUAGAUUAGUU